CACUGGUUUUCCAGGAACAACAGGUUCCCCAUUUUUGUCAGGAAACAUCUUCUGUGAGGGGCCCCGAGACUCCUUGUGUCAGUUAAUUUGCACAGCAGUAAGCAAAGACACUCAGCAACAUCUAUUUUAAUGUGAUUAAGCAAGUCCCCAUUCUUCCAUUCCUGGCUUUAAUAAUAAUGAUUGUUUUAUUUAGAAAUCAUUAAUGUGAUUAAACAAGCCCCCAUUCUUCUAACCCUGGCUUCAGUGGGGGGCAGAGGAGGGUGACACGGGCCGAGAAUGUGGGGAUGGAGGGGCACAGGCUGUUAUUCAGGGACAGGGGAAAACGUAGGGACACAGUGUGGGGGCAUCCGGGAGGGCAGCUGGGGACAGGGACCAUAAAUGGUGGGGCCCCUGCUGUGUCCCCAGGGUUGGGGUGUGCCCAAGGGACAGAUACCCCACAACUCAUGUCCACAGGAAGCUGCUUCAGGUUCUGGCCCUCUGCCCCAAGGAGCACAUGUCCCUUUCCUGGUGGCAUAAGGACACCCUGGAGCCCAGGGUGGGAGGUGGCACCCUCACCUACGAUGGCAUCUGGGCACCCACCUCAUCUGCCUCCCUGCAGGCAAGGACCCUCAGAGACCACGGAGGUGCUGAGGAGAAGGAAGGUAGGGUGCUGUGGAGCGUUGGGGUGAGGGGAGUGUGGGCCUUUGGGUGCCUCCCCAAUGCCCCUUGCCGUGUCCCCAGGGCUCACCCCCUGGGAUGUGGCCCUACACCUCAAUCUGCUGGCAGGGGGCCAGGGUCAAGUGCUGCAAACACUUAGGAGCAGGGACCCCUGGGUGCAGUGGUGAGUGUGGGCAGGGCAUCCCUGC